UAUAUAUACGCUUGCACUCUCUUCUCAAACCUCCAAGCAAUACCUCUCAUAGCUAGAAGCCCUUAUAAUUAGCCCAUCGCAAGCAAGAGCCUAGCUAUCUACUACCUCGCCUUCCCUUCAAUGGCUUCGCUUAAUGCAUCUUCAACGGCACCGGCAUCGGCACCGGCUUGCACUGGCACCAAAACAGUCACCGGCGGUGACUUCAGCAGCACCCACUUCGGCAACACCACCGCCGGCAACGUCACCAACAGCGAUGCGAUCCGUCCAUAGUUGGUUAAGCUUCCAUUAUCAAUAAUAUUGCCUGUAAUCAAAUAUAGGCCGUGUUAAGAAGGUUGUAUUAUCUACAAUAAGGCCAAUUAUCAAAUAUGGUGUGUUGUAAGGCCAAGAAUCAGAUUUGUUGUAUUAUUUGGAACAUAUAUUGAAGCUUGUAUUACCGAUAAUAAUUAAGGGCAAUAAGUUGUGCUA